rnacentral:rRNA from 1 species
GGAAACGACUGCUAAUACCGCAUAAUGUCUUCGGACCAAACGGGGCUUCGGCUCCGGCGCAAAGAGAGGCCCAAGUGAGAUUAGCUAGUUGGUAAGGUAACGGCUUACCAAGGCGACGAUCUCUAGCUGUUCUGAGAGGAAGAUCGGCCACACUGGGACUGAGACACGGCCCAGACUCCUACGGGAGGCAGCAGUGGGGAAUAUUGCACAAUGGGGGAAACCCUGAUGCAGCUAUGCCGCGUGUGUGAAGAAGGCCUUCGGGUUGUAAAGCACUUUC